CAAUAGCGUAUAUUAAAGUUGUUGCAGUUAAAAAGCUCGUAGUUGGAUUUGUGGCGUACGGUGUGUUCCGGGCACUUGUUGUCUGAGUAACCUGCUGUUGCCAUCCUUGGGUGGAACCUGUGUGGCAUUAGGUUGUCGUGCAGGGGAUGCCCAUCAUUUACUGUGAAAAAAUUAGAGUGUUUAAAGCAGGCUUAUGCCGUUGAAUAUAUUAGCAUGGAAUAAUGAGAUAGGACUUUUUUGCUAUUUUGUUGGUUUGCGCAAAGAGGUAAUGAUUAAUAGGGACAGUUGGGGGUAUUCGUAUUCCAUUGUCAGAGGUGAAAUUCUUGGAUUUUUGGAAGACGAACUACUGCGAAAGCAUUUACCAAGGAUGUUUUCAUUAA
rnacentral:rRNA from 1 species